GACGAACCGUGCGAACGUUGUUCGGAUUCACUGGGCUUAAAGGGCGCGUAGGCGGGUUACCAAGUCAGGGGUGAAAUCUUUCGGCUCAACCGGAAAACGGCCCCUGAUACUGGUAGUCUUGAGGGAGGUAGGGGCAGGUGGAACUUCCGGUGGAGCGGUGAAAUGUGUUGAUAUCGGAAGGAACGCCGGUGGCGAAAGCGACCUGCUGGAUCUCUUCUGACGCUGAGGCGCGAAAGCUAGGGGAGCGAACGGGAUUAGAUACCCCGGUAGUCCUAGCCCUAAACGAUGGGUACUAGAUUGUGGACUUAACAUGGGUUCACAGUCGAAGCAAAAGUGGUAAGUACCCCGCCUGGGGAGUAUGGUCGCAAGGCUGAA
rnacentral:rRNA from 1 species